rnacentral:rRNA from 1 species
UACGGGGGGUGCGAGCGUUGUCCGGAGUUACUGGGCGUAAAGCGCACGCAGGCGGUGCUGCGCGUUUGGGGUUACAGCUCCCGGCUCAACCGGGAGAGCGCCUCGAAGACGGCACACCUGAGGGCCAGAGAGGGACACGGAACUCCGGGUGGAGUGGUGAAAUGCGUAGAUAUCCGGAAGAACACCAAAGGCGAAGGCAGUGUCCUGGCUGGUACCUGACGCUCAGGUGCGAAAGCUAGGGGAGCGAACGGG